rnacentral:rRNA from 1 species
GGUGAACGCUGGCGGCGUGCCUAAUACAUGCAAGUCGAGCGAAUGGAUUAAGAGCCUGCUCUUAUGAAGUUAGCGGCGGACGGGUGAGUAACACGUGGGUAACCUGCCCAUAAGACUGGGAUAACUCCGGGAAACCGGGGCUAAUACCGGAUAACAUUUUGAACCGCAGGGUUCGAAAUUGAAAGGCGGCUUCGGCUGUCACUUAUGGAUGGACCCGCGUCGCAUUAGCUAGUUGGUGAGGUAACGGCUCACCAAGGCAACGAUGCGUAGCCGACCUGAGAGGGUGAUCGGCCACACUGGGACUGAGACACGGCCCAGACUCCUACGGGAGGCAGCAGUAGGGAAUCUUCCGCAAUGGACGAAAGUCUGACGGAGCAACGCCGCGUGAGUGAUGAAGGCUUUCGGGUCGUAAAACUCUGUUGUUAGGGAAGAACAAGUGCUAGUUGAAUAAGCUGGCACCUUGACGGUACCUAACCAGAAAGCCACGGCUAACUACGUGCCAGCCGCCGCCGUAA